rnacentral:rRNA from 1 species
UGGCGGCAGGCUUAACACAUGCAAGUCGAACGGUAGCAGGAGGAAGCUUGCUUUCUUGCUGACGAGUGGCGGACGGGUGAGUAAUGCUUGGGAAUCUGGCUUAUGGAGGGGGAUAACUACGGGAAACUGUAGCUAAUACCGCGUAAUAUCGAAAGAUUAAAGUGUGGGACCUUCGGGCCACAUGCCAUAAGAUGAGCCCAAGUGGGAUUAGGUAGUUGGUGAGGUAAAGGCUCACCAAGCCUGCGAUCUCUAGCUGGUCUGAGAGGAUGGCCAGCCACACUGGAACUGAGACACGGUCCAGACUCCUACGGGAGGCAGCAGUGGGGAAUAUUGCGCAAUGGGGGGAACCCUGACGCAGCCAUGCCGCGUGAAUGAAGAAGGCCUUCGGGUUGUAAAGUUCUUUCGGUAUUGAGGAAGGGAUGUGUGCUAAUAGUACACGUCAUUGACGUUAAAUACAGAAGAAGCACCGGCUAACUCCGUGCCAGCAGCCGCGGUAAU